rnacentral:rRNA from 1 species
CCUACGGGUGGCAGCAGUAGGGAAUCUUCCACAAUGGGCGCAAGCCUGAUGGAGCAACGCCGCGUGGAUGAAGAAGGUCUUCGGAUCGUAAAACUCUUUUGUUAGAGACGAAAGAGCGGGAGAGUAACUGUUCACGUUUCGACGGUAUCUAACCAGAAAGCCACGGCUAAAUACGUGCCAGCAGCCGCGGUAAUACGUAGGUGGCAAGCGUUAUCCGGCUUUAUUGGGCGUAAAGGGAACGCGGGCGGUCUUUUAAGUCUGAUGUGAAAGCCUUGGGCUUAACCGGAGUAGUGCAUUGGAAACUGGGAGACUUGAGUGCAGAAGAGGAGGGUGGAAUUCCAUGUGUAGCGGUGAAAUGCGUAGAUAUAUGGAAGAACACCAGUGGCGAAAGCGGCUCUCUGGUCUGUAACUGACGCUGAGGUUCGAAAGCGUGGGGAGCAAACAGGAUUAGAUACCCUAGUAGUC